UUUCAGGUAGCAAUAUUUGAAAGUCGGAGUGGCGCAAGGGUGCGUAACACGUGGAUCAUCUGCCGUGAAGCCUGGGAUAACUCGCUGAAAGGCGAGCUAAUACCGGAUGUGAACGAGAGUUCAAAGCUGGGGACCGCAAGGCCUGGCACUUUACGAUGAGUCCGCGGCCUAUCAGCUAGUUGGUGAGGUAACGGCUCACCAAGGCUAAGACGGGUAGCUGGUCUGAGAGGACGACCAGCCACACUGGAACUGAGACACGGUCCAGACACCUACGGGUGGCAGCAGUCGAGAAUUUUUCUCAAUGGGCGAAAGCCUGAAGGGGCGACGCCGCGUGGGGGAUGAAUGGCUUCGGCCCGUAAACCCCUGUCAUUUGCGAACAAAUUGAUUACCUAACACGUGUAUCAUUGAUUGUAGCGGAAGAGGAAGGGACGGCUAACUCUGUGCCAGCAGCCGCGGUAAUACAGAGGUCCCAAGCGUUGUUCGGAUUCACUGGGCGUAAAGGGUGCGUAGGCGGUCGGGUAAGUCUGAUGUGAAAUCUCACAGCUUAACUGUGAAACUGCAUUGGAUACUAUCCGGCUCGAGGAAUGGAGGGGAGACUGGAAUACUUGGUGUAGCAGUGAAAUGCGUAGAUAUCAAGUGGAACACCAGUGGCGAAGGCGAGUCUCUGGACAUUUCCUGACGCUNAGGCACGAAAGCCAGGGGAGCAAACGGGAUUAGAUACCCCGGUAGUCCUGGCCCUAAACGGUGCGCAUUUGCUGUGAGUGGAAUCGACCCCGCUCGUGGCG
rnacentral:rRNA from 1 species